CCGACACUAUGGCCUUAGUUUGAUAAAUGCAGAAAUGUGUUGGUCAACUUUGGUUGCGGUAAAAGAGCUGCUUGAUAUUGUGCAGUAUGGUCUAGACCGCAGUGUCGAAAAACAACUCUAUGCCCUGCGAAUGCAGAGAGCAGGGAGGCACGGCAUAUUCCAUAACCUCUUUGGAACCCAUUGGGUGAUGAUCAUUGAGACAAACCAUGCCUGGCACAGUU
rnacentral:snoRNA from 13 species